rnacentral:rRNA from 1 species
AUUGAACGCUGGCGGCAUGCCUUACACAUGCAAGUCGAACGGCAGCACGGGGCAACCUGGUGGCGAGUGGCGAACGGGUGAGUAAUGCAUCGGAACGUACCUUUCAGUGGGGGAUAACGUAGCGAAAGUUACGCUAAUACCGCAUAUUCUGUGAGCAGGAAAGCAGGGGAUCGCAAGACCUUGCGCUGAUUGAGCGGCCGAUGUCAGAUUAGCUAGUUGGUGAGGUAAAGGCUCACCAAGGCGACGAUCUGUAGCGGGUCGGAGAGGAUGAUCCGCCAAACUGGAACUGAGACACGGUCCAGACUCCUACGGGAGGCAGCAGUGGGGAAUUUUGGACAAUGGGGGCAACCCUGAUCCAGCCAUGCCGCGUGAGUGAAGAAGGCCUUCGGGUUGUAAAGCUCUUUCGGCCGGGAAGAAAUCGCACGGGCUAAUACCCUGUGUGGAUGACGGUACCGGAAUAAGAAGCACCGGCUAACUACGUGCCAGCAGCCGCGGUAACAC